UGGGGAAUUUUGGACAAUGGGCGAAAGCCUGAUCCAGCAAUGCCGCGUGUGUGAAGAAGGCCUUCGGGUUGUAAAGCACUUUUGUCCGGAAAGAAAUCCUUGGCUCUAAUACAGUCGGGGGAUGACGGUACCGGAAGAAUAAGCACCGGCUAACUACGUGCCAGCAGCCGCGGUAAUACGUAGGGUGCAAGCGUUAAUCGGAAUUACUGGGCGUAAAGCGUGCGCAGGCGGUUUGCUAAGACCGAUGUGAAAUCCCCGGGCUCAACCUGGGAACUGCAUUGGUGACUGGCAGGCUAGAGUAUGGCAGAGGGGGGUAGAAUUCCACGUGUAGCAGUGAAAUGCGUAGAGAUGUGGAGGAAUACCGAUGGCGAAGGCAGCCCCCCUGGGCCAAAUACUGACGCUCAUGCACGAAAGCGUGGGGAGCAAAACAGGAUUAGAUACCCUGGUAGUCCACGCCCUAAAACGAUGUCAACUAGUUGUUGGGGAUUCAUUUCCUUAGUAACGUAGCUAACGCGUGAAGUUGACCGCCUGGGGGAGUACGGUCGCAAGAUUAAAAACUCAAAGGAAUUGACGGGGUCAUAGCUGUUUCCU
rnacentral:rRNA from 1 species